UUUUACAUCAAUUUUUUUUAUUUUUGCAUUUAGCCUAAAACAGUCAGAAAGUGUAAUUAAUAAUCGUUACACUGUCAGAUUAUUAAAAUUUCACAAGUGCUGAAGCUGCAGAGCUGCAGAUACACCAGUCAGACAACAGGCGGUGCUGUAAGAUCUUCUUCCCACAGAAACCCUCAAUAGUAAAGAAUGUGUGAGGACGCUGCACUGUGCACAGGUGGGCCAGUUUAAUGAGCCAAAAGCUACAGCUAAACUACUAGUCUAGCGUAGGUGUUCGGGCGUCUGACUGAUUUGUGUGAGACAACACAUGAUCUUUCUCAAACUAUGACCCAGAGUCGCAAACAACGUGACAGUUUGGCACUGGAUUUUGAUGAGGAUUUUGGUCUUCCACCACCAAAAGGCGUUCUUCUGCAGAGGCGCCGCUUCUAUCAUGCUCUUGGAGGAGGCAGCCCUGAAGAGACCCGACAUCCUUUGUCACAUCCAGAGAUCAUUGAAAUUGAUAAAGAUGGGCCAGUUGUUAACUGUGGGACAGUCAAUUCUAAAGAACGGAUGUACUGCACUGAUACACAGCCUGUGAACAAACUCUCUCGGAAGAGUCGCAUGAGGGAUCAGGUACUACCACUCAAAUCUUGCAGUCAUGUCUUAACUUCAGUGUGACCUAGGAAACCUGUAGCGAAGUUUGACAGAUUUAUUGAUAAUUUAUUUA
rnacentral:lncRNA from 1 species